rnacentral:rRNA from 1 species
AGCUCCAAUAGCGUAUAUUAAAGUUGUUGCAGUUAAAAAGCUCGUAGUUGGAUUUCAGAGUGAGCUCGUCCGGUCGGCCUAAAUGGUCUGAACUGGUUGACUCUCUCUUGCUUGUGGAUCCCGCCCGGAGUUAACUCUUCGGAUGUGGACUUCACAUCGUUUACCUUGAAAAAUUAGAGUGUUCAAAGCAGGCGUAUGCUUGAAUAUAUUAGCAUGGAAUAAUGGAAUAGGACCCUGGUUCUAUUUUGUUGGUUUUGAGGACCAGAGUAAUGAUUAAUAGGGAUAGUUGGGGGCAUUCGUAUUUAACUGUCAGAGGUGAAAUUCUUGGAUUUGUUAAAGACGAACUACUGCGAAAGCAUUUGCCAAGGAUGUUUUCA